AGGGUUGUGGCUCAGCGGUAGAGCGCUCGCCUAGCAUGUGCGAGGCCCUGGGUUCGAUCCUCAGCAUCACUU
rnacentral:tRNA from 1 species